rnacentral:misc_RNA from 1 species
AAGUCGUAACAAGGUUUCCGUAGGUGAACCUGCGGAAGGAUCAUUACUCUUAGCUUAAGUGUACAUACACUUAUUGCUAUACAAACAACACCAAUCUGUGCUCUUGCUUUUUCCACCCCAUUUAUUACUCAAUUAUUAUUAAACUGAUCCAAUUGUGUUUCAGCUUAGCAGUAUUUACUGUUAGCUACACACAUCUGUAUUUGUAUGACCAGUGAUUUAUUUCGUUGUCUCAUGCCAAUACUUGUUGAACCACAGUAUAGUACUUGAGUGUGUAUAGUAUAUAUGUUUUGCAUAUAUAAUGUGUUCACUCUACGACUAUCAGUGAAAACAACUCCGAACAAUGGAUAUCUCGGCUCUC